AGAGAGAGACAUGCGCGCAUAUCAAUAAGCGGAGGAAAAGAAACUAACAAGGAUUCCCUUAGUAACGGCGAGUGAAGCGGGAAGAGCUCAAAUUUGAAAUCUUCAAGGUUUUACCUUGACGAAUUGUAGUUUAAAGAAGUGUUUCUGCUGAAGUUUUGGUAAAAGUUCUUUGGAAUAGGACAUCAUAGAGGGUGAGAAUCCCGUAUUUGACCAUUAUUUUCAGCUUUGUGAUACACUUUCAAAGAGUCGGAUUGUUUGGGAAUGCAGUCCAAAAUGGGUGGUAAAUUUCAUCUAAAGCUAAAUAUUGGCGAGAGACCGAUAGCGAACAAGUACCGUGAGGGAAAGAUGAAAAGAACUUUGAAAAGAGAGUUAAACAGUACGUGAAAUUGUCAAAAGGGAAGCGUUUGACACCAGUGUUGUUUUCUCGAAAAUCAAUUAAAAAUGGCUCGAUUUUGUAUUGUUGAGACCUUAAAAGCUCACUGUACAUUUUUCGUGUCUUUUUUAAUGCACUUUUCGUUUAACAAGUCAACAUCAGUUUCUUUUGUUGUAAAAGGGUCAUUGGAAGGUGGCUUUCUUUUCGGAGAAAGUGUUUAUAGCCUUUGGCCUCUGCAAUCGGAGAGACUGAGGUCUGCAGCGUAGACUCUUCGGGGUUAGAUACAUUUGUGCUAAGUUAUAGCUUUUUAUAGACAACUUGUUGACUAUAAUUAGUCUUGUAGCUUACUCGCUUAUGCUAUUUUACCUACGCUUAGGAUGUUGAAGAUGUAGCACAUCAU
rnacentral:rRNA from 1 species